GGUUAAGCGACUAAGCGUACACGGUGGAUGCCCUGGCAGUCAGAGGCGAUGAAGGACGUGCUAAUCUGCGAUAAGCGUCGGUAAGGUGAUAUGAACCGUUAUAACCGGCGAUUUCCGAAUGGGGAAACCCAGUGUGUUUCGACACACUAUCAUUAACUGAAUCCAUAGGUUAAUGAGGCGAACCGGGGGAACUGAAACAUCUAAGUACCCCGAGGAAAAGAAAUCAACCGAGAUUCCCCCAGUAGCGGCGAGCGAACGGGGAGGAGCCCAGAGCCUGAAUCAGUGUGUGUGUUAGUGGAAGCGUCUGGAAAGGCGCGCGAUACAGGGUGACAGCCCCGUACACAAAAAUGCACAUGCUGUGAGCUCGAUGAGUAGGGCGGGACACGUGGUAUCCUGUCUGAAUAUGGGGGGACCAUCCUCCAAGGCUAAAUACUCCUGACUGACCGAUAGUGAACCAGUACCGUGAGGGAAAGGCGAAAAGAACCCCGGCGAGGGGAGUGAAAAAGAACCUGAAACCGUGUACGUACAAGCAGUGGGAGCACGCUUAGGCGUGUGACUGCGUACCUUUUGUAUAAUGGGUCAGCGACUUAUAUUCUGUAGCAAGGUUAACCGAAUAGGGGAGCCGAAGGGAAACCGAGUCUUAACUGGGCGUUAAGUUGCAGGGUAUAGACCCGAAACCCGGUGAUCUAGCCAUGGGCAGGUUGAAGGUUGGGUAACACUAACUGGAGGACCGAACCGACUAAUGUUGAAAAAUUAGCGGAUGACUUGUGGCUGGGGGUGAAAGGCCAAUCAAACCGGGAGAUAGCUGGUUCUCCCCGAAAGCUAUUUAGGUAGCGCCUCGUGAAUUCAUCUCCGGGGGUAGAGCACUGUUUCGGCAAGGGGGUCAUCCCGACUUACCAACCCGAUGCAAACUACGAAUACCGGAGAAUGUUAUCACGGGAGACACACGGCGGGUGCUAACGUCCGUCGUGAAGAGGGAAACAACCCAGACCGCCAGCUAAGGUCCCAAAGUCAUGGUUAAGUGGGAAACGAUGUGGGAAGGCCCAGACAGCCAGGAUGUUGGCUUAGAAGCAGCCAUCAUUUAAAGAAAGCGUAAUAGCUCACUGGUCGAGUCGGCCUGCGCGGAAGAUGUAACGGGGCUAAACCAUGCACCGAAGCUGCGGCAGCGACGCUGAUGCGUUGUUGGGUAGGGGAGCGUUCUGUAAGCCUGCGAAGGUGUGCUGUGAGGCAUGCUGGAGGUAUCAGAAGUGCGAAUGCUGACAUAAGUAACGAUAAAGCGGGUGAAAAGCCCGCUCGCCGGAAGACCAAGGGUUCCUGUCCAACGUUAAUCGGGGCAGGGUGAGUCGACCCCUAAGGCGAGGCCGAAAGGCGUAGUCGAUGGGAAACAGGUUAAUAUUCCUGUACUUGGUGUUACUGCGAAGGGGGGACGGAGAAGGCUAUGUUGGCCGGGCGACGGUUGUCCCGGUUUAAGCGUGUAGGCUGGUUUUCCAGGCAAAUCCGGAAAAUCAAGGCUGAGGCGUGAUGACGAGGCACUACGGUGCUGAAGCAACAAAUGCCCUGCUUCCAGGAAAAGCCUCUAAGCAUCAGGUAACAUCAAAUCGUACCCCAAACCGACACAGGUGGUCAGGUAGAGAAUACCAAGGCGCUUGAGAGAACUCGGGUGAAGGAACUAGGCAAAAUGGUGCCGUAACUUCGGGAGAAGGCACGCUGAUAUGUAGGUGAAGUCCCUCGCGGAUGGAGCUGAAAUCAGUCGAAGAUACCAGCUGGCUGCAACUGUUUAUUAAAAACACAGCACUGUGCAAACACGAAAGUGGACGUAUACGGUGUGACGCCUGCCCGGUGCCGGAAGGUUAAUUGAUGGGGUCAGCGCAAGCGAAGCUCUUGAUCGAAGCCCCGGUAAACGGCGGCCGUAACUAUAACGGUCCUAAGGUAGCGAAAUUCCUUGUCGGGUAAGUUCCGACCUGCACGAAUGGCGUAAUGAUGGCCAGGCUGUCUCCACCCGAGACUCAGUGAAAUUGAACUCGCUGUGAAGAUGCAGUGUACCCGCGGCAAGACGGAAAGACCCCGUGAACCUUUACUAUAGCUUGACACUGAACAUUGAGCCUUGAUGUGUAGGAUAGGUGGGAGGCUUUGAAGUGUGGACGCCAGUCUGCAUGGAGCCGACCUUGAAAUACCACCCUUUAAUGUUUGAUGUUCUAACGUUGACCCGUAAUCCGGGUUGCGGACAGUGUCUGGUGGGUAGUUUGACUGGGGCGGUCUCCUCCUAAAGAGUAACGGAGGAGCACGAAGGUUGGCUAAUCCUGGUCGGACAUCAGGAGGUUAGUGCAAUGGCAUAAGCCAGCUUGACUGCGAGCGUGACGGCGCGAGCAGGUGCGAAAGCAGGUCAUAGUGAUCCGGUGGUUCUGAAUGGAAGGGCCAUCGCUCAACGGAUAAAAGGUACUCCGGGGAUAACAGGCUGAUACCGCCCAAGAGUUCAUAUCGACGGCGGUGUUUGGCACCUCGAUGUCGGCUCAUCACAUCCUGGGGCUGAAGUAGGUCCCAAGGGUAUGGCUGUUCGCCAUUUAAAGUGGUACGCGAGCUGGGUUUAGAACGUCGUGAGACAGUUCGGUCCCUAUCUGCCGUGGGCGCUGGAGAACUGAGGGGGGCUGCUCCUAGUACGAGAGGACCGGAGUGGACGCAUCACUGGUGUUCGGGUUGUCAUGCCAAUGGCACUGCCCGGUAGCUAAAUGCGGAAGAGAUAAGUGCUGAAAGCAUCUAAGCACGAAACUUGCCCCGAGAUGAGUUCUCCCUGACCCUUUAAGGGUCCUGAAGGAACGUUGAAGACGACGACGUUGAUAGGCCGGGUGUGUAAGCGCAGCGAUGCGUUGAGCUAACCGGUACUAAUGAACCGUGAGGCUUAACCUU
rnacentral:rRNA from 1 species